CCAAUAGCGUAUAUUAAAGUUGUUGCAGUUAAAAAGCUCGUAGUUGAAUUUCGGGGUUAGUAGGUUGGUCAUGCCUCUGGUAUGUACUGAUCUCACUGAUUCCUCCUUCCUGAUGAGCCGUAAUGCCAUUAAUUUGGUGUUGCGGGGAAUUUGGACUGUUACUUUGAAAAAAUUAGAGUGUUUAAAGCAAGCUAACGCUUGAAUACAUUAGCAUGGAAUAAUGAAAUAGGACGUUCGAUCCUAUUUUGUUGGUUUCUAGGAUUGACGUAAUGAUUAAUAGGGAUAGUUGGGGGCAUUAGUAUUCAAUUGUCAGAGGUGAAAUUCUUGGAUUUAUUGAAGACUAACUACUGCGAAAGCAUUUGCCAAGGAUGUUUUCAUUAAUCAAGAACGAAAGUUAGGGGAUCGAAGACGAUCAGAUACCGUCGUAGUCUUAACCAUAAACUAUGCCGACUAGGGAUCGGAUGAUGUUAAUUUUUUAAUGACUCAUUCGGCGCCUUACG
rnacentral:rRNA from 1 species